AUUGAACGCUGGCGGCAUGCCUUACACAUGCAAGUCGAACGGCAGCACGGGAGCAAUCCUGGUGGCGAGUGGCGAACGGGUGAGUAAUAUAUCGGAACGUGCCCAGUCGUGGGGGAUAACGUAGCGAAAGCUACGCUAAUACCGCAUACGAUCUAUGGAUGAAAGCGGGGGAUCGCAAGACCUCGCGCGAUUGGAGCGGCCGAUAUCAGAUUAGGUAGUUGGUGAGGUAAAGGCUCGCCAAGCCGACGAUCUGUAGCUGGUCUGAGAGGACGACCAGCCACACUGGGACUGAGACACGGCCCAGACUCCUACGGGAGGCAGCAGUGGGGAAUUUUGGACAAUGGGCGCAAGCCUGAUCCAGCAAUGCCGCGUGCAGGAUGAAGGCCUCGG
rnacentral:rRNA from 1 species